rnacentral:rRNA from 1 species
CUAGUCGUUCGCGUACACAGGGGCACCCUCGCGCGAUGUCAGCAAUACCUAGGUCACCCUUGAAUAAACUACCCUUGUUGCUUUGGCGGGCCGCCCCUCGGGGCCAGCGGCUUCGGCUGCUGCGCGCCCGCCAGAGGACCACAACUCUUGUUUUUAGUGAUGUCUGAGUACUAUAUAAUAGUUAAAACUUUCAACAACGGAUCUCUUGGUUCUGGCAUCGAUGAAGAACGCAGCGAAAUGCGAUAAGUAAUGUGAAUUGCAGAAUUCAGUGAAUCAUCGAAUCUUUGAACGCACAUUGCGCCCUUUGGUAUUCCGAAGGGCAUGCCUGUUCGAGCGUCAUUAUAACCACUCAAGCCUUCGCUUGGUAUUGGGGUUCGCGGCUGCGCGGCCCCUAAAAUCAGUGGCGGUGCCUGUCGGCUCUACGCGUAGUAAUACUCCUCGCGUCUGGGUUCCGGUAGGUUGCUUGCCAGCAACCCCUAAAUUUUUUACAGGUUGACCUCGGAUCAGGUAGGGAUACCCGCUGAACUUAAGCAUAUCAAUA